UUUUAGAUCCAUUUGAAUGACAUAAGUUUGCUCCACACCAUUGUUAGAAAUUUGCCCUAUUGGAUCCGUAUCAUUCUCUCCUUCUUUAGAAAAGAUUCGUCCUCGAAUCUUGCUGAUAUUUAUGUCAAAAAGGGAAGCUUUAGGAACCCAUGUAUCUUCAAAGACCUCCUUUUGAAUAGGUGGAAAUAGGAUAAAACUUUCAUCAUGAAUGUUUUCAUCAACAACCUGCACAUCAAGAACAAAUGAACUAGGCAUAAAAAUAUUAGUCAUAGAAAAAUCUUGUG
rnacentral:lncRNA from 1 species